rnacentral:rRNA from 1 species
GACAAAGGGGGCUAGCGUUGUUCGGAAUUACUGGGCGUAAAGCGCGUGUAGGCGGUUGUCCAAGUUGGAUGUGAAAGCCUUGAGCUUAACUCAAGAAAUGCAUUCAGGACUGGAUGACUAGAGGACCGGAGAGGAUAGUGGAAUUCCCAGUGUAGUGGUGAAAUACGUAGAGAUUGGGAAGAACACCAGUGGCGAAGGCGGCUAUCUGGACGGUUUCUGACGCUAAGACGCGAAAGCGUGGGGAGCAAACAGG